rnacentral:rRNA from 1 species
GACGAACGCUGGCGGCGUGCUUAACACAUGCAAGUCGAACGGAAAGGCCUUGCUUUUGUGGGGUGCUCGAGUGGCGAAAGGGUGAGUAACACGUGAGUAACCUGCCCUUGACUUUGGGAUAACUUCAGGAAACUGGGGCUAAUACCGGAUAGGAGCUCCUGCUGCAUGGUGGGGGUUGGAAAGUUUCGGCGGUUGGGGAUGGACUCGCGGCUUAUCAGCUUGUUGGUGGGGUAGUGGCUUACCAAGGCUUUGACGGGUAGCCGGCCUGGGAGGGUGACCGGCCACAUUGGGACUGGGAUACGGCCCAGACUCCUACGGGGGGCAGCAGUGGGGAAUAUUGCACAAUGGGCGGAGGCCUGAUGCAGCAACUCCGCGUGCUAGAUGACGGCCUUCGGGUUGUAAACCGCUUUCGCCUGGGACGAAGCGUGAGUGACGGUAAUGGGUAAAGAAGCACCGGCUAACUACGUG